UACAGAGGGGGCAAGCGUUGUUCGGAAUUACUGGGCGUAAAGGGCGCGUAGGCGGCCUUCUAAGUCGAACGUGAAAUCCCUGGGCUCAACCCAGGAACUGCGUCCGAUACUGGGAGGCUUGAAUCCGGGAGAGGGAUGCGGAAUUCCAGGUGUAGCGGUGAAAUGCGUAGAUAUCUGGAGGAACACCGGUGGCGAAGGCGGCAUCCUGGGCCUUACCUGACGCUCAGGCGCGAAAGCUAGGGGAGCGAACAGG
rnacentral:rRNA from 1 species